rnacentral:rRNA from 1 species
GACGAACGCUGGCGGCGUGCCUAAUACAUGCAAGUCGAACGAGAGCGCCCGGUGCUUGCACUGGUCAAUCUAGUGGCGAACGGGUGAGUAACACGUGGGUAACCUGCCCAUCAGAGGGGGAUAACAUCCGGAAACGGAUGCUAAAACCGCAUAGGUCUUCGAACCGCAUGGUUUGAAGAGGAAAAGAGGCGCACGCUUCUGCUGAUGGAUGGACCCGCGGUGCAUUAGCUAGUUGGUGAGGUAACGGCUCACCAAGGCCGUGAUGCAUAGCCGACCUGAGAGGGUGAUCGGCCACAUUGGGACUGAGACACGGCCCAAACUCCUACGGGAGGCAGCAGUAGGGAAUCUUCCGCAAUGGACGCAAGUCUGACGGAGCAACGCCGCGUGAGUGAAGAAGGUGUUCGGAUCGUAAAACUCUGUUGUUAGAGAAGAACAAGUGCUAGAGUAACUGUUAGCGCCUUGACGGUAGCUAACCAGAAAGCCACGGCUAACUACGUG